UACGGAGGGUGCGAGCGUUGUCCGGAAUCAUUGGGCGUAAAGGGCGCGUAGGUGGCCCGGUCAGCGUGCGGUGAAAGCUCGGGGCUCAACCCCGAGUCGGCCGUGCGAACUGCUGGGCUCGAGCACUGUAGAGGCAGGCGGAAUUCCGGGUGUAGCGGUGGAAUGCGUAGAGAUCCGGAAGAACACCGGUGGCGAAGGCGGGAUCCUGGGCCAGUACUGACGCUGAGGAGCGAAAGCGUGGGGAGCAAACAGG
rnacentral:rRNA from 1 species